GCGGUUAAAAAGCUCGUAGUUGGAUCUCGGCAGGUAGGGGGCGGUUCGUUUCUGACGGUACUGCCCCAUUUACCUGUGUUUUUGACGGAGGUCUGAGGGUGCUCUUCACCGAGUGUCCCCAAACGCCGUCAGGUUUACUUUGAAAAAAUUAGAGUGCUCAAAGCAGGCUUCAAGCUUGAAUAUUUGUGCAUGGAAUAAUGGAAUAGGAAGUCGUUUCUAUUUUGUUGGUUUUCGGAAAUUGACUUAAUGAUUAAUAGGGACAGCCGGGGGCAUUAGUAUUCAGACGCUAGAGGUGAAAUUCUUGGACCGUCUGAAGACUAACUACUGCGAAAGCAUUUGCCAAGAGUGUUUUCAUUAAUCAAGAACGAAAGUUAGAGAUUCGAAGGCGAUCAGAUACCGCCCUAGUUCUAACCAUAAACGAUGCCAGCUAGCGAUCCGUAGCUGUUUUUCAUGUAGGCUCUACGGGAAGCUUCCGGGAAACCAAAGCUUGUGGGUUCCGGGGGAAGUAUGGUUGCAAAGCUGAAACUUAAAGGAAUUGACGGAAGGGCACCACCAGGAGUGGAGCCUGCGGCU
rnacentral:rRNA from 1 species